rnacentral:rRNA from 1 species
AUUGAACGCUGGCGGCAGGCCUAACACAUGCAAGUCGAGCGGAUGAAGGGAGCUUGCUCCUGGAUUCAGCGGCGGACGGGUGAGUAAUGCCUAGGAAUCUGCCUGGUAGUGGGGGAUAACGUCCGGAAACGGGCGCUAAUACCGCAUACGUCCUGAGGGAGAAAGUGGGGGAUCUUCGGACCUCACGCUAUCAGAUGAGCCUAGGUCGGAUUAGCUAGUUGGUGGGGUAAAGGCCUACCAAGGCGACGAUCCGUAACUGGUCUGAGAGGAUGAUCAGUCACACUGGAACUGAGACACGGUCCAGACUCCUACGGGAGGCAGCAGUGGGGAUUAUUGGACAAUGGGCGAAAGCCUGAUCCAGCCAUGCCGCGUGUGUGAAGAAGGUCUUCGGAUUGUAAAGCACUUUAAGUUGGGAGGAAGGGCAGUAAGUUAAUACCUUGCUGUUUUGACGUUACCAGCAGAAUAAGCACCGGCUAACUUCGUG